CCUACGGGAGGCAGCAGUAAGGAAUAUUGGUCAAUGGGCGCAUGCCUGAACCAGCCAUGCCGCGUGAAGGAAGACGGCCCUAUGGGUUGUAAACUUCUUUUGUCAGGGAAUAAACGUGGGUACGUGUACCCACCUGAAGGUACCUGAAGAAUAAGCAUCGGCUAACUCCGUGCCAGCAGCCGCGGUAAU
rnacentral:rRNA from 1 species